UACGUAGGUGACAAGCGUUGUCCGGAUUUACUGGGCGUAAGGAGCGCGCAGGCGGUCGUUCAAGUCGAGUGUGAAAGCCCCCGGCUCAACUGGGGAGGGUCACUCGAUACUGAUCGACUCGAAGGCAGGAGAGGGAAGUGGAAUUCCCGGUGUAGUGGUGAAAUGCGUAGAUAUCGGGAGGAACACCAGUGGCGAAGGCGACUUCCUGGCCUGUUCUUGACGCUGAGGCGCGAAAGCUAGGGGAGCAACGGG
rnacentral:rRNA from 1 species